GAUGAACGCUGGCGGCGUGCCUAAUACAUGCAAGUCGAACGCUUUGUGGUUCAACUGAUUUGAAGAGCUUGCUCAGAUAUGACGAUGGACAUUGCAAAGAGUGGCGAACGGGUGAGUAACACGUGGGAAACCUACCUCUUAGCAGGGGAUAACAUUUGGAAACAGAUGCUAAUACCGUAUAACAAUGACAACCGCAUGGUUGUUAUUUAAAAGAUGGUUCUGCUAUCACUAAGAGAUGGUCCCGCGGUGCAUUAGCUAGUUGGUAAGGUAAUGGCUUACCAAGGCGAUGAUGCAUAGCCGAGUUGAGAGACUGAUCGGCCACAAUGGGACUGAGACACGGCCCAUACUCCUACGGGAGGCAGCAGUAGGGAAUCUUCCACAAUGGGCGAAAGCCUGAUGGAGCAACGCCGCGUGUGUGAUGAAGGGUUUCGGCUCGUAAAACACUGUUGUAAGAGAAGAAUGACAUUGAGAGUAACUGUUCAAUGUGUGAUGGUAUCUUACCAGAAAGGAACGGCUAAAUACGUGCCAGCAGCCGCGGUAAUACGUAUGUUCCAAGCGUUAUCCGGAUUUAUUGGGCGUAAAGCGAGCGCAGACGGUUAUUUAAGUCUGAAGUGAAAGCCCUCAGCUCAACUGAGGAAUUGCUUUGGAAACUGGAUGACUUGAGUGCAGUAGAGGAAAGUGGAACUCCAUGUGUAGCGGUGAAAUGCGUAGAUAUAUGGAAGAACACCAGUGGCGAAGGCGGCUUUCUGGACUGUAACUGACGUUGAGGCUCGAAAGUGUGGGUAGCAAACAGGAUUAGAUACCCUGGUAGUCCACACCGUAAACGAUGAGUGCUAGGUGUUUGAGGGUUUCCGCCCUUAAGUGCCGCAGCUAACGCAUUAAGCACUCCGCCUGGGGAGUACGACCGCAAGGUUGAAACUCAAAGGAAUUGACGGGGACCCGCACAAGCGGUGGAGCAUGUGGUUUAAUUCGAAGCAACGCGAAGAACCUUACCAGGUCUUGACAUCCCUUGACAACUCCAGAGAUGGAGCGUUCCCUUCGGGGACAAGGUGACAGGUGGUGCAUGGUUGUCGUCAGCUCGUGUCGUGAGAUGUUGGGUUAAGUCCCGCAACGAGCGCAACCCUUAUUACUAGUUGCCAGCAUUCAGUUGGGCACUCUAGUGAGACUGCCGGUGACAAACCGGAGGAAGGUGGGGAUGACGUCAAAUCAUCAUGCCCCUUAUGACCUGGGCUACACACGUGCUACAAUGGCGUAUACAACGAGUUGCCAACCCGCGAGGGUGAGCUAAUCUCUUAAAGUACGUCUCAGUUCGGAUUGUAGGCUGCAACUCGCCUACAUGAAGUCGGAAUCGCUAGUAAUCGCGGAUCAGCACGCCGCGGUGAAUACGUUCCCGGGUCUUGUACACACCGCCCGUCACACCAUGAGAGUUUGUAACACCCAAAGCCGGUGGGGUAACCUUCGGGAGCCAGCCGUCUAAGGUGGGACAGAUGAUUAGGGUG
rnacentral:rRNA from 1 species